AUUUAUAUAGUAUAAAAAGUAUUUUUAAUUUCCAAUUAAAUGGUUUAAAAUUUAAUAUAAAUA
rnacentral:tRNA from 1 species